CGCAAUAAAGGGUGAUAGCCCCGUAAUCGACAUCUCAUAAUCAGUGAAAACGAGUAGGGCGGGACACGUGAUAUCCUGUCUGAAUAUGGGGGGACCAUCCUCCAAGGCUAAAUACUACUGACUGACCGAUAGUGAACCAGUACCGUGAGGGAAAGGCGAAAAGAACCCCUGUGAGGGGAGUGAAAUAGAACCUGAAACCGUGUACGUACAAGCAGUAGGAGCACCUUCGUGGUGUGACUGCGUACCUUUUGUAUAAUGGGUCAGCGACUUAAUUUUAGUAGCAAGGUUAACCGUUUAGGGGAGCCGUAGGGAAACCGAGUCUUAACUGGGCGUACAGUUGCUAGGAUUAGACCCGAAACCAGGUGAUCUAGCCAUGGGCAGGUUGAAGGUUGAGUAACAUCAACUGGAGGACCGAACCGACUAAUGUUGAAAAAUUAGCGGAUGACUUGUGGCUAGGGGUGAAAGGCCAAUCAAACCUGGAGAUAGCUGGUUCUCCCCGAAAGCUAUUUAGGUAGCGCCUCGGACGAAUACUACUGGGGGUAGAGCACUGUUAAGGCUAGGGGGUCAUCCCGACUUACCAACCCUUUGCAAACUCCGAAUACCAGUAAGUACUAUCCGGGAGACACACGGCGGGUGCUAACGUCCGUCGUGGAGAGGGAAACAACCCAGACCGCCAGCUAAGGUCCCAAAGUAUAGCUAAGUGGGAAACGAUGUGGGAAGGCUCAGACAGCCAGGAUGUUGGCUUAGAAGCAGCCAUCAUUUAAAGAAAGCGUAAUAGCUCACUGGUCGAGUCGGCCUGCGCGGAAGAUGUAACGGGGCUAAGCUAUACACCGAAGCUGCGGCUACGUACCUUAGGG
rnacentral:rRNA from 1 species